GAUGAACGCUAGCGGCAGGCUUAAUACAUGCAAGUCGAGGGGCAGCAUGACUGUAGCAAUACAGUUGAUGGCGACCGGCAAACGGGUGCGGAACACGUACGCAACCUACCCAAAACUGAGGAAUAGCCCGGGGAAACCCGGAUUAAUACCUCGUAACAUAAUUGAAUGGCAUCAUUUAAUUAUUAAAGCUCCGGUGGUUUGGAUGGGCGUGCGCCUGAUUAGGUAGUUGGUAGGGAACGGCCUACCAAGCCAACGAUCAGUAACUGGUGUGAGAGCACGACCAGUCACACGGGCACUGAGACACGGGCCCGACUCCUACGGGAGGCAGCAGUAAGGAAUAUUGGUCAAUGGACGCAAGUCUGAACCAGCCAUGCCGCGUGAAGGAUGAAGGU
rnacentral:rRNA from 1 species